rnacentral:rRNA from 1 species
CUGCUGCCUUCCGUAGGAGUUUGGGCCGUGUCUCAGUCCCAAUGUGGCCGUCCACCCUCUCAGGCCGGCUACUGAUCGUCGCCUUGGUGGGCCGUUACCCCGCCGACAAGCUAAUCAGACGCGGGUCCAUCUUACACCACCGGAGUUUUUCACACAAAUCCAUGCGGCUUCGUGCGCUUAUGCGGUAUUAGCACCUAUUUCUAAGUGUUAUCCCCCAGUGUAAGGCAGGUUACCCACGCGUUACUCACCCGUCCGCCACUAAGA